GGGGGCGAUCGGUUUCGACAACGGUCGAGAUUGAUGUGAAGCGGGUCGAGGAGGCACAGUCAUCUCGUUAACGAUUCUGUGCAAACCAAUAGGUGCCAACUCUAAGCGCACCGAUUUCGCCCUCGCUGCCUAAGCGAGCCUCGAAAUCCGUCAACGUGUAGCCUGCUCUUGCUACACGAGCUGACGUCGUUUUAAGAGCCACUGCUUCUUACUCUUGUACGUGGAGUAAGGUGAACACUUAGCGUGCUAGGUCUGUCAACGUUAUGUCUAUACAAGCGUUGGGGCCAAAAAUAACGUUAUGUAGACUGCACCCGGAGAAGCCAUUGGUCGACAUCGUUGGACCCGGGUUCAAUUCCCGGCGCCUCCAC
rnacentral:tmRNA from 1 species